rnacentral:lncRNA from 10 species
CCGGCAGUAGUACCUACUUUUUAAAGUGUAAGCAAGGAAAGUUGGCCCGCACCUGUAGUCCCAUCUACCUGGGAGGCUGAGGUGGAAGAAUUGCUUGAGCCCAGUUGGUCGAGGCUGCAAUGAGCCUUGAUCACGCCACUGCACUCCAGCCUGGGCAACAGAACAAGACCCUGUCUCAAACAAAAAAGUGUAUGUAAGAAUAAAAAUUAAUAGAUUAGGCACAGGAUGGGUGUUUAAUUCUCGGCAAUCACCACUAAGUUUUCAUACUGAGGCUUAUUCAUUCCAUGGGCAAAACAUUGCGCUAUGUGUGGUGCCUGGGGUGGGCUCCAAAUUCCAGUCCUCUCCUCGCUUGCGAUAGCUGUGUGAUCCAUUCCUAAGUUUCCUUAUUUGUCCACAGAGCGUACACAGGGUUUUUAUGAAAACUAGAUCAGAUAAUCAGACACAGUUAAAAUAGCACGCGCUCAGUAAAAUUACAUAUUAGUGGAAGAGACAAGCCUUGAAUAAAUCGCCUUUCGGGGAGUAUGACCCCCUCCCCGAAACCCACUCAGGCGCUGCUCGCUCGCACGCCCACUGAGCUCGGAGCGGAGCCCGAGCCCUUUCCCAGCACACAGGGUUCAUUUCCAGACUGAAAGACAUCCCAGAGACAACUCCAGAGGCCAAGGCGGGUCGGCUUCCUGCGUGGGCCCAGCGCCGGGCACUGAAAGCGCCCUUUCUCCCCGCCGCAUUCCCGGUGUCGACUUACUAGCUGCAAGCCUCUGCCUGCCUUCCUGCGCGCCGUUCCCCGCUAGUCGCUGCUGCUGGCGCGCACUCGCCGGGUUUUUCCUCCCACGGCCUCGAGAUGGUGGUGAAUGUGGCACGGAGGAGCCGGGCCUUCCAACCCGGUGGGCCCGAGCUCCGAAAGGCCCCCUCGGCAGUGAGAGGGGCGGGAGCCCGCGGGGGCCGCGCCCUUCUCUCGCUUCGGACUGCGCAACGCUGCGCUCUGGGCUGACAGGCGGAUAAAACGGUCCCAUCAAGACUGAGAAAAAGCACACCAGCUAUUGGCACAGCGUGGGCAGUGGGGCCUACAGGAUGACUGACUUAGUCUACAGAGAUCCCGGCGUACUUAAGCAGGUAGUAAUGAUGGACAGGUGAGGCUUUAGGCGGCCGCCCUGGGAUCUGAAUUGCCCCUUGGCCCUUAUCGAAGCUGCAGCUGCUUCCGCAUAGCUGCUGUGGUCAAAAAGGAGCCCAGAGUGACAGUUUUCCUUGACGGUCGCCGUUCUGUUUGUUGUAACUGAUCUGCAACAUUUUGGGAAAAUACAGUUCCAUUGUACCUGCCACCUUUCAGCUGUAGCCAGAGACCUUUAUCAAAAUGGGCUUGUUUCCACAGAACAGCAGAACGGUUGGGGGUUUGCAUGUACAGUUAACCAGCAUAAGACUCGUACUGGGAAAAUCCAGCUGGGAUGUGACACAGCUUAACUGAUAGCUUAAGGCAUCAGUAUUGGGACCAAAGGCUGGUCAGAUUUGUAUCAUUCUGAGGACCAAAUGAUGGGAACAAUAAAAUUGUUCAUGACAGUUGUUCUCAUUUUGCUGUCCAGAUGAAGACUCUUAAGAUGACAGAAGGUGAUUUUUCUGGUGAUCGAGGACUUCCGGGGUAAUGACAGUGAUGAAAUGCAGGGGACCUGGUAGGUUUCUUUUGGAGACUAACUGGGGGCUGCCUGGUGGGACAGAACAGCAUGUUUCCAAGGGCUGUGGCUGGUCAUAGCCAUGGGAUCUCCAACUGCAUGCAAGAGCAACCUGGAAAGACUUUGACAGCGCAGGUUGCCCCCAAGUUUCCUGGCAGUGUGUGAUACUGAGGAGGUGAGCUUGUUUCUGGAGCUGUGCUUUAAGGUAAAGUUGAUCAGCUUAAUCCUCCUGAUCCCUUUCCCAUCGGAUCUGAACACUGGUCUUGGUGGUCGUAAAAGGAGGAAAAGUAAUAGUGAAGCUGGCCUAAAUGUUGUAAUCUGGUAUAUGGCAUGUGGGCUAGUUUCAGACAGGUUUCAGAGAUGGUUGGAUCUCUGAAAUUGUAAAAUGAAGUAUAAUCUUAGGCUAAGGGAAGGAUGCGUGUGAAGCUCUGGAGGUUGGUAUAGUAAUAGCUGACCUAUUACUGCAUUUGGGAGGGAUCUGUCAUAGCUUCCUUGCCUCUUAAUUAAGGGUGGUGUUUUUUUCUUUUAGAUUCAUGUUACAUGUAAAGCUGUCCUCAUUUGUGACUAUGGACCUAUGGAGUUGGGACAAUCUCUAUGGGAAGCAGAAGGCAAGGACCCCGGUCAUUUUAGGUAGAAACAACAGCAUGCUAAUGCAAAAAAUUAUGCAGUGUGCUACUGAACUUCAGAGGUGAUCAAUAAAAGAAGAAUAAAAAGACUAAUAAAAGUAUAUUUGUGUUUGUAUUUUUUUGUAGAGACCGAACUGGUCUCUU